UGUUGGCGGGGUAACGGCCCACCAAGGCGACGAUCAGUAGGGGUUCUGAGAGGAAGGUCCCCCACAUUGGAACUGAGACACGGUCCAAACUCCUACGGGAGGCAGCAGUGAGGAAUAUUGGUCAAUGGGCGAGAGUCUGAACCAGCCAAGUAGCGUGCAGGAUGACGGCCCUAUGGGUUGUAAACUGCUUUUAUAAGGGAAUAAAGUGAGUCUCGUGAGACUUUUUGCAUGUACCUUAUGAAUAAGGACCGGCUAAUUCCGUGCCAGCAGCCGCGGUAAUACGGAAGGUCCGGGCGUUAUCCGGAUUUAUUGGGUUUAAAGGGAGCGUAGGCCGGAGAUUAAGCGUGUUGUGAAAUGUAGACGCUCAACGUCUGCACUGCAGCGCGAACUGGUUUCCUUGAGUACGCACAAAGUGGGCGGAAUUCGUGGUGUAGCGGUGAAAUGCUUAGAUAUCACGAAGAACUCCGAUUGCGAAGGCAGCUCACUGGAGCGCAACUGACGCUGAAGCUCGAAAGUGCGGGUAUCGAACAGGAUUAGAUACCCUGGUAGUCCGCACGGUAAACGAUGGAUGCCCGCUGUUGGUCUGAAUAGGUCAGCGGCCAAGCGAAAGCAUUAAGCAUCCCACCUGGGGAGUACGCCGGCAACGGUGAAACUCAAAGGAAUUGACGGGGGCC
rnacentral:rRNA from 1 species